GAAUGCCAGAAUAUAUGGCCUACCUGGCAUUUUCCUGGAAAGACAGCAGCCUUCACCUCAGGACAAACCCACAGGAUCAGAUUUUGACCUGAAAUGCUACCUCUGGCCACUGUUUACUUCUGUUCUAAAACCACUGAUAGUCUGUUGGGACACCACCAAUACAUGGAUGUGUCUGUUACUGUAACAAACACAUGUCUCUGGAUGAUGUUAUAUUUCACAAGAAGAAAACCAAUUUCUGCAGUUCACCUACUUGCAGGACACUACCAAUAGUCAGACUUGGUCCUCUAUGCAGUAUUUCAAACUGGAAAUCCAAGACAUAGGAUGACCUGACAACA